ACAUGGGCGGGGGCCUAUACAUGCAAGUCGAGCGGGAGACUCUCCUUCGGGAGAGACCCUAGCGGCGAACGGGUGAGAAACACGUGGGUAACCUACCCCGAGGACUGGGAUAACUCCGGGAAACCGGAGCUAAUACCGGAUAAUUCUCCAGCUCGCAUGAGUUGGGGCUGAAAGAUGGCGCAAGCUGUCACCUCGGGAUGGGCCCGCGGCGCAUUAGCUAGUUGGUGGGGUAACGGCUCACCAAGGCGACGAUGCGUAGCCGACCUGAGAGGGUGAUCGGCCACACUGGGACUGAGACACGGCCCAGACUCCUACGGGAGGCAGCAGUAGGGAAUUUUCGGCAAUGGGCGCAAGCCUGACCGAGCAACGCCGCGUGAGUGAUGACGGCCUUCGGGUUGUAAAACUCUGUUCUUCGGGAAGAACGCAGGAGAGGUGAAUAGCUUUUUCUGGUGACGGUACCGAAGGAGAAAGCCCCGGCUAACUACGUGCCAGCAGCCGCGGUAAUACGUAGGGGGCGAGCGUUGUCCGGAAUUAUUGGGCGUAAAGGGCGCGCAGGCGGCCGAUUAAGUCGGAUGUGAAAGGCCACGGCUCAACCGUGGAGUUGCAUCCGAAACUGGUUGGCUUGAGUGCAGGAGAGGAGAGCGGAAUUCCCGGUGUAGCGGUGAAAUGCGUAGAGAUCGGGAGGAACACCAGUGGCGAAGGCGGCUCUCUGGCCUGUUACUGACGCUGAGGCGCGAAAGC
rnacentral:rRNA from 1 species